rnacentral:rRNA from 1 species
ACGGGAGGCAGCAGUGGGGAAUAUUGCACAAUGGGGGAAACCCUGAUGCAGCGACGCCGCGUGAGUGAAGAAGUAUUUCGGUAUGUAAAGCUCUAUCAGCAGGAAAGAAAAUGACGGUACCUGACUAAGAAGCCCCGGCUAACUACGUGCCAGCAGCCGCGGUAAUACGUAGGGGGCAAGCGUUAUCCGGAUUUACUGGGUGUAAAGGGAGCGUAGACGGUAAGGCAAGUCUGAAGUGAAAUGCCAGGGCUCAGCCCUGGAACUGCUUUGGAAACUGUCCUACUAGAGUGCAGGAGAGGUAAGUGGAAUUCCUAGUGUAGCGGUGAAAUGCGUAGAUAUUAGGAGGAACACCAGUGGCGAAGGCGGCUUACUGGACUGUAACUGACGUUGAGGCUCGAAAGCGUGGGGAGCAAACAGGAUUAGAUACCCUGGUA